rnacentral:lncRNA from 1 species
GAAAGAUCUCCCAUGCUCAUGGAUUGGCAGGAUUAAUUUAGUAAAAAUGGCCAUUUUACCAAAAGCAAUCUACAGAUUCAAUGCAAUCCCCAUCAAAAUACCAAUCCAAUUCUUCAAAGAGUUAGACAGAACAAUUUGCAAAUUCAUCUGGAAUAACAAAAAACCCAGGAUAGCUAAAGCUAUCCUCAACAAUAAAAGGACUUCAGGGGGAAUCACUAUCCCUGAACUCAAGCAGUAUUACAGAGCAAUAGUGAUAAAAACUGCAUGGUAUUGCUACAGAGACAGACAGAUAGACCAAUGGAAUAGAAUUGAAGACCCAGAAAUG